CGUGUAGGCGGCUGAAUAAGUCAGAUGUGAAAUCCCUGGGCUCAACCCAGGAAGUGCAUUUGAAACUGUUCGGCUAGAGUAGGGGAGAGGGAAGUGGAAUUCCUGGUGUAGAGGUGAAAUUCGUAGAUAUCAGGAGGAACACCGGUGGCGAAGGCGACUUCCUGGCCCUAUACUGACGCUGAGACGCGAGAGCGUGGGGAGCAAACA
rnacentral:rRNA from 1 species